AUGUUGCUCCAGCUUUUCUUUGUUUUGAGGCAAUUUGUUUUCUUUUGUUUUUGCAUUGAGGAAAUGGAGUGCCUUUUCUUCCUACAUCUUAACUUUCAGCAUGCAACUUUUGUCUUCAUGCAAAAUCUGAAUAAAAGUGAAGAGGGCAGUUCUAAAGAGAGGAAGCUGCUGAGCAAUGUCCAAGGAUACAAUUGGCGGAGUUUCUUUUGUUUUAAAAAACAUGAUAAACAAGUACAGAAUGUGCGCAAGCAGGAAGAAACUGACCUAAAGCUGCUGGUGUCUGACUGGACAGAAACUCAAGUUGGCCAUUGGUUAAAGAGUAUUGGAAUGAAAAAAUAUAUCCUGAAAUUUGAUUAUAAAAGAGUAAGCAGUCAAGAACUUCUUGAAUUAGACAAUGAUGCAUUAAAAUGCAUUGGAAUCACUAAGAAGAGAGAUCGCAAGAAAAUCCUUAAGGGAAUUAAGAAAAUUCAACAGACAGAAAAAAAUUAAUAAAAUCUAACAAUUAAAUAUAUCAAAAAGAUAAUUCUGGAAGAUACAGCAAAAAUGAGAAAAAUAUAAUUACAUGAUAUUUACCUUUAAUCUACUACUUCAACAUAUUAUUUUGAUAUAGAAUAAUUUUUCAUUGUUGAAAAAUUAUUAAUAUCAUCCAUAAUAAGCAUUACACAUAUUAUACUGUAUUUCUGAAUAAACUGAUUAUAAUAUACA
ensembl:lncRNA